CGUUGCCAUUGUUUGGUUCAGGAAUGACUUGAGAGUUCUGGAUAAUGAGGCUCUUUUCAGAGCUUGGGUUUCUUGUAAAGCAAUUUGUGUUGAUCCCAGUGGUAAAUCUGUUCACUUUUGGGAAUUUUGGGAAUACCCAUUAGUUUGGAUUGCCCAAAAUUGGAGUUGUUUGAAGCGGUAUGUCGAAUCUAGAAUGAGCCGUACGUCCCCAGUAAAAAGGGUUGACUUGCCAUACCACUUGUUGCCGUUGCUAACGCUAUGAAGCCUCUUGAUCUGAUAUUUUCAAGUAAUGUGCGAUAUAGGAAUGUUUUUUCGGUUCCCCCAGGUCCAUCUACAAAGAACAAUCCUGCUUCUCCACAAUCGACUCUUUGCAAAAUAGUCUCGAACGCUUGCUUUUGUUCAGGAUUUAGCUUUGAUUGUGCAUCAAAACCUUCCGGAGGCUAGAUACAAGCACAUAUUUGUUGACGUCGGACUUGGAUUUCAUGUGGAAUUCACAUGGUUGGAAGCUAUGAAUUAAAUAUCAGCAAAGGAGGAGAAAUUAGAUAGUUGAAGGUUAAUGACUGAAGGCUGCAUUUCACUAAAAUUGAAUUCAUAAAUUCUGCAUAGUGCUUCUGGCGCAGACACCGAACGUGCAUCUUGAAAGAGAUACUUUAUUGCUUUCACUCCCGAGCAAGACUCUACAUUGAUGUGACAAUUAUAGUAACUAUAUUUUACUAUAAUUCCUUACAUCGAAUAGCACAAUAUAUAAUACCAUUUUUGGAGAGCUGUUGCUUUUUCAAAAGCGGGGUUUAUCAACAGGCUGCUAACAGAUGUAGAAGAUAUCACAGGAUUCCCUUAAAAAUAUAAAAAAGUUAGUGUAAUUAAAAGAUACACAAUUUACCAUAAAUACAACAGUUUUUAAUAUAUUACGUCUGUAUAUUGUACCCUAACAUCACAGAAUGCUAUAAUAGGUCUUUCAACUGUCAACUUUUGUAGCCGUUCAUCCUCUAUUUCUGAGAUGUCGCCCCAUAAAGUUAUAAUCUUCCGAUCACGCCCGAAUUUUACAAUUAAACAUAUAAGAUAAAAAAAAAAUAUA